UUGAGGGUCCUAAAGGGCCGUUGGAGACCACAACGUUGAUAGGUGGGGUGUGUAAGCGCGGCGACGUGUUGAGCUAACCCAUACUAAUUACCCGUGAGGCUUAACCAUACAACACCCAAGAAGUGUU
rnacentral:rRNA from 2 species